rnacentral:rRNA from 1 species
GGAACACAGGUGCUGCAUGGCUGUCGUCAGCUCGUGUCGUGAGAUGUUGGGUUAAGUCCCGCAACGAGCGCAACCCUUGUCAUUAGUUGCUACGAAAGGGCACUCUAAUGAGACUGCCGGUGACAAACCGGAGGAAGGUGGGGAUGACGUCAAGUCCUCAUGGCCCUUAUGGGUAGGGCUUCACACGUCAUACAAUGGUCGGGACAGAGGGUCGCCAACCCGCGAGGGGGGAGCCAAUCCCAGAAACCCGAUCGUAGUCCGGAUUGUAGUCUGCAACUCGACUACAUGAAGUCGGAAUCGCUAGUAAUCGCGGAUCAGCAUGUCGCGGUGAAUACGUUCCCGGGUCUU